rnacentral:rRNA from 1 species
UACAGAGGUCCCAAGCGUUGUUCGGAUUCAUUGGGCGUAAAGGGUGUGUAGGUGGCGCCGUAAGUCGGGUGUGAAAUUUCGGAGCUUAACUCCGAAACUGCAUUCGAUACUGGCGUGCUUGAGGACUGGAGAGGAGACUGGAAUUCAUGGUGUAGCAGUGAAAUGCGUAGAGAUCAUGAGGAAGACCAGUGGCGAAGGCGGGUCUCUGGACAGUUCCUGACACUGAGACACGAAGGCCAGGGGAGCAAACGGGG